rnacentral:rRNA from 1 species
AUUGAACGCUGGCGGCAUGCUUUACACAUGCAAGUCGAACGGCAGCGGGGAGGAGCUUGCUUCUCUGCCGGCGAGUGGCGAACGGGUGAGUAAUACAUCGGAACGUGUCGAGAAGAGGGGGAUAACCACCCGAAAGGGUGGCUAAUACCGCAUAAAUUCUGAGGAAGAAAGCUGGGGACCUAGGAAUAGGCCUAGCGCUUUUUGAGCGGCCGAUGUCGGAUUAGCUAGUUGGUGAGGUAAAGGCUCACCAAGGCGAAGAUCUGUAGCGGGUCUGAGAGGAUGAUCCGCCACACUGGGACUGAGACACGGCCCAGACUCCUACGGGAGGCAGCAGUGGGGAAUUUUGGACAAUGGGGGCAACCCUGAUCCAGCCAUGACGCGUGUAUGAAGAAGGCCUUAGGGUUGUAAAGUACUUUUGUUAGGGAAGAAAAGUCAGCUGUGAAUAAUGGCUGAUACUGACGGUACCUAAAGAAUAAGCACCGGCUAACUACGUG